rnacentral:rRNA from 1 species
CCUACGGGAGGCUGCAGUGAGGAAUAUUGGUCAAUGGCCGAGAGUCUGAACCAGCCAAGUAGCGUGAAGGAUGAAUGCCCUAUGGGUUGUAAACUUCUUUUAUAAAGGAAUAAAACGAGGCACGUGUGCCUUUUUGCAUGUACUUUAUGAAUAAGGAUCGGCUAACUCCGUGCCAGCAGCCGCGGUAAUACGGAGGAUCCGAGCGUUAUCCGGAUUUAUUGGGUUUAAAGGGAGCGUAGAUGGGAUGUUAAGUCAGUUGUGAAAGGUUGCGGCUCAACCGUAAAAUUGCAAUUGAUACUGGCAGUCUUGAGUACAGUUGAGGUAGGCGGAAUUCGUGGUGUAGCGGUGAAAUGCUUAGAUAUCACGAAGAACCCCGAUUGCGAAGGCAGCUUACUAAACUGUGACUGACAUUGAUGCUCGAAAGUGUGGGUAUCAAACAGGAUUAGAUACCCUGGUAGUC